CAAAUUUAUUAAAUAAUGACAUAAUAAUAAGACACAGAAGAGUCAAUGAGAUUGUGGCAUUAAUUGUUAUAAUUAACAAUGCGUAUUCUAUGGAACAGUUGGACGAGAUAAAAGAAUUUGUAAGAAAGAAGUUGAAAUAUUCAGUCAUUCCCAAUAUUGAAUACAAGAUAAAAACACGCUCGUCGG